CAGUCGCCGCGGUAAUACGUAGGUGGCAAGCGUUAUCCGGAAUUAUUGGGCGUAAAGCGCGCGUAGGCGGUUUCUUAAGUCUGAUGUGAAAGCCCACGGCUCAACCGUGGAGGGUCAUUGGAAACUGGGAAACUUGAGUGCAGAAGAGGAAAGUGGAAUUCCAUGUGUAGUGGUGAAAUGCGCAGAGAUAUGGAGGAACACCAGUGGCGAAGGCGACUUUCUGGUCUGUAACUGACGCUGAUGUGCGAAAGCGUGGGGAUCAAACAGGAUUAGAUACCCCCGUAGUCCCUGUCUCUUAUAC
rnacentral:rRNA from 1 species